rnacentral:tRNA from 1 species
GCCCACGUAGCUCAGGUGGUAGAGCGCGUCCUUGGUAAGGACGAGGUCACCGGUUCAACCCCGGUCGCGGGCU